UCGGGUCGUAAACUCCUGUCUGGGGGGAUGAAUACUGACAGUACCCCCGGAGGAAGCCCCGGCUAANUACGUGCCAGCAGCCGCGGUAAUACGUAGGGGGCGAGCGUUGUCCGGAAUUACUGGGCGUAAAGCGCGCGCAGGUGGCUUGUUAAGUCAGGUGUCAAAAUGCGGGGCUCAACCCCGUACCGCACUUGAAACUGGCAGGCUUGAGUGCAGGAGAGGAAAGUGGAAUUCCUAGUGUAGCGGUGAAAUGCGUAGAUAUUAGGAGGAACACCAGUGGCGAAGGCGACUUUCUGGACUGUAACUGACGCUGAGGCGCGAAAGCUAGGGGAGCAAACAGGAUUAGAUACCCUGGUAGUCCUAGCCGUAAACGAUGGGUACUAGGUGUUGGGGGUGACAAUCCUUCCAGUGCCGCAGUUAACGCAUUAAGACCCCGCCUGGGGAGACGGCCGCAA
rnacentral:rRNA from 1 species